ACUAUAGGCCUAGAAAUGUAAUCUAUUCUAAAAUAGGAACUAUACACAUAAGAUUCACAUAACCCUUGCACAAGAACGGUACGCAAAUUCGUUAAGCAUUCCAUAUGUUC